GUAAUGAUCUGCCAGGGCCUGCACUUGGGGUAAUGAUCUGCCAGGGCCUGCACUUGGGGUAAUGAUCUGCCAGGGCCUGCACUUGGGGUAAUGAUCUGCCAGGGCCUGCACUUGGGGUAAUGAUCUGCCAGGGCCUGCACUUGGGGUAAUGAUCUGCCAGGGCCUGCACUUGGGGUAAUGAUCUGCCAGGGCCAGGAGGUAAUGAUCUGCCAGGGCCUGCACUUGGGGUAAUGAUCUGCCAGGGCCUGCACUUGGGGUAAUGAUCUGCCAGGGCCUGCACUUGGGGUAAUGAUCUGCCAGGGCCUGCACUUGGGGUAAUGAUCUGCCAGGGCCUGCACUUGGGGUAAUGAUCUGCCAGGGCCUGCACUUGGGGUAAUGAUCUGCCAGGGCCUGCACUUGGGGUAAUGAUCUGCCAGGGCCUGCACUUGGGGUAAUGAUCUGCCAGGGCCUGCACUUGGGGUAAUGAUCUGCCAGGGCCAGGAGGUAAUGAUCUGCCAGGGCCUGCACUUGGGGUAAUGAUCUGCCAGGGCCUGCACUUGGGGUAAUGAUCUGCCAGGGCCUGCACUUGGGGUAAUGAUCUGCCAGGGCCUGCACUUGGGGUAAUGAUCUGCCAGGGCCAGGAGGUAAUGAUCUGCCAGGGCCUGCACUUGGGGUAAUGAUCUGCCAGGGCCAGGAGGUAAUGAUCUGCCAGGGCCUGCACUUGCGGUGUUCUUAGGGGCACCCUGAUGACCCCCCAGCUGCCUGAGUGCGGGGCUCACAGCACUGCUCCCUGCAGCCUUUUGCCCAUAGAUCUUUGGAUCUUGAGUUGUGUCAAUGAGUGUCCCCAUGGGAAACAAUGAGAAGUGAUAGGUCUGGUAGGGGCAGGUGCACCCCCUGGGAUCCACUCCUAUGCAGAGAACAGGACCUGUGGCGCAGUGUGGAGAGGUGACAGCACAUGCCCAGCUUUCUCCAUUCAUUCCAUUUAAGCUCAGCCAUUUUCACAGCUCCCAUAGAAGUGAAUAGAG